CAGUAGCUGCGGUAAAACGUAGGUGGCAAGCGUUGUCCGGAAUUAUUGGGCGUAAAGGGCUCGCAGGCGGUUUCUUAAGUCUGAUGUGAAAGCCCCCGGCUCAACCGGGGAGGGUCAUUGGAAACUGGGAAACUUGAGUGCAGAAGAGGAGAGUGGAAUUCCACGUGUAGCGGUGAAAUGCGUAGAGAUGUGGAGGAACACCAGUGGCGAAGGCGACUCUCUGGUCUGUAACUGACGCUGAGGAGCGAAAGCGUGGGGAGCGAACAGGAUUAGAUACCCCUGUAGUCCCUGUCUCUUAUAC
rnacentral:rRNA from 1 species